GACGAACGCUGGCGGCGUGCCUAAUACAUGCAAGUUGAGCGAUGAAGAUUGGUGCUUGCACCAAUUUGAAGAGCAGCGAACGGGUGAGUAACGCGUGGGGAAACUGCCUUUGAGCGGGGGACAACAUUUGGAAACGAAUGCUAAUACCGCAUAACAACUUUAAACAUAAGUUUUAAGUUUGAAAGAUGCAAUUGCAUCACUCAAAGAUGAUCCCGCGUUGUAUUAGCUAGUUGGUGAGGUAAAGGCUCACCAAGGCGAUGAUACAUAGCCGACCUGAGAGGGUGAUCUACCACAUUGGGACUGAAACACGGCCCGAAAUCCUACGGGAGGCAGCAGUAGGGAACCUUCGGCAAUGGACGAAAGUCUGACCGAGCAACGCCGCGUGAGUGAAUAAGGUUUUCGGAUCGUAAAACUCUGUUGGGAGAGAAGAACGUUGGUGAGAGUGGAAAGCUCAUCAAGUGACGGUAACUACCCAGAAAGGGACGGCUAACUACGUG
rnacentral:rRNA from 1 species